rnacentral:rRNA from 1 species
AGGACGAACGCUGGCGGCGUGCUUAACACAUGCAAGUCGAGCGGUAAGGCCUUUCGGGGUACACGAGCGGCGAACGGGUGAGUAACACGUGGGUGAUCUGCCCUGCACUUCGGGAUAAGCCUGGGAAAUUGGGUCUAAAUACCGGAUAUGACCUCAGGUUGCAUGACUUGGGGUAGGAAAGAUUUAUCGGUGCAGGAUGGGCCCGCGGCCUAUCAGUCUUGUUGGUGGGUAAUGGCCUACGAAGGCGACGGACGGGUACGCCGACCUGAGAGGGUGACCGGCCACGCGUGGACUGACGACGACCGGACCCGAGACCUACCCGUACCGGGACGGACGAGACGAGGUAGGGGAAUAUUGACACAAGUGGGACGAAAGCCUGA